AUUGAACGCUGGCGGCAGGCCUAACACAUGCAAGUCGAGCGGAUGAAGAGAGCUUGCUCUCUGAUUUAGCGGCGGACGGGUGAGUAAUGCCUAGGAAUCUGCCUGGUAGUGGGGGAUAACGUUCCGAAAGGAACGCUAAUACCGCAUACGUCCUACGGGAGAAAGCAGGGGACCUUCGGGCCUUGCGCUAUCAGAUGAGCCUAGGUCGGAUUAGCUAGUUGGUGAGGUAAUGGCUCACCAAGGCGACGAUCCGUAACUGGUCUGAGAGGAUGAUCAGUAACACUGGAACUGCGACACGGUCCAGACUCCUACGGGAGGCAGCAGUGGGGAAUAUUGGACAAUGGGCGAAAGCCUGAUCCAGCCAUGCCGCGUGUGUGAAGAAGGUCUUCGGAUUGUAAAGCACUUUAAGUUGGGAGGAAGGGCAGUAAGUUAAUACCUUGCUGUUUUGACGUUACCGACAGAAUAAGCACCGGCUAACUUCGUGCCAGCAGCCGCUGUAACAC
rnacentral:rRNA from 1 species